GGGGAACGAUAACGACAACAAGAGUCUCCCGAUCGUUUACUCUUGUUGUCCUGUGAACAACAUCGGCAUGGUGUUAAUUGUUUGCUGUUUUCGCGAUCGCGUCGCGCAUGAGGAUAACCCUAGAUUGCUGAGGUGAUUGAUGAUCGACCUGAGGAAGUGAAACAGAUGGAAGUUUUUAGGACCAGCAACAGAUGGAAAGCAAUUGGAGUGGAUCAAAAUGAUGACACAGAGGAAGGAAAUGGAAAAGAACAUCAAAAUACAGAGGCUGGCUCAUUAAGCAGAGGUCGACAUGACUCACCCGA
ensembl:lncRNA